UCUUGAUCAACCUCUAGGGGGCUCUGCUGGUACAAGAUCCUGCGCUGGAACUCCUCCCGCAGCGCCACGCCCGUCGGCGGAUGAUCGUCUCCCAGCCCAAAUGUGAGCUCAUACACGUCCCCGAGCUUGGAUAAAUCAGGGCCUCCAUGAGGUCGACGAGCGGCGCGGUGUACUCCUCGAACGACGCGACGACCCCGCUGCUUCUGGUGGUGGCGGCGAGGUCGACGCAGGAGACGCGGUAGCCGGAACGCCGGAGCAGCGCCAGCAGCCUGUACCAGCACCAGGCGCCAUGGCCGGCGCCGUGCACCAGCACGAAGUGUUCCUGCUCCAGCUUCUUCUCGUUGUUGUUUCUGCUGACGAUGAUGCUCUUGGUAACACCGUCCAUAUGUCCAGUUCUCCUGAUGACCUUUUCUUUCGUUUGUGUAUAUUUAUGCAGAUAGCUAGCUAGUACUGGAUGGAGCAUAUAUAUACAAGAGUGUGAUGUUAUAUACUCCCUCCAUCCUGAAACGUCAGUUAAUUUGGGACAGAAAAGGUAUAUAUAUACAGAGGGAGAGGCCUUCAAGUAUUGUGCUACUACUACUGGCUUGAGUGAGCAGCGGGAAAUCGAUGGAGAUACGGAACAAAGAAAAUAAUUAAAGGAUAAUUAAAGUUUGGCUAUGACGACUGGGUCCAGGCAGUGCCAUUUGUCAGAAUGACCGAGGCAAAGGGUCCACCACGUCAAAGGAGAUGACCCACGAGUCAGGAGAAGUCUAGGAUUAGUUGGUGCUAAAAAAUUCAGGAAUUCAGGGUGUGAGAAAAAAUACUACAGCCUAAAAUCAUGUUUUUGGAAAUAUAGAAUUGGGCAACUGGGCUGAGAGAGGAGGCAACCAAAUAGGUGGGCCUAGUUGUCUGUUUGGCUGGCUCUCUCUCUCAAAAAAAACUUGUCUCUUGGGUACAUUGAAAAAAAGAAGUUACUUUUUGGGCUGAAUUGCUUAAAUACCCUGUCAUUUUACAUUUUUAACUUAUUUUUGUUUUGCCCUUUUUAUGCAUAGCAGUACAUACUACAUGCUAUAUAUACCUAGUUGUUUGGCAAAAAAUAGUUGGAAUACCUUUGAUCUUGACUUGAA